rnacentral:lncRNA from 1 species
CUUGUUAUAUCUCUCUCUGUCUCUCUCUUCUUUAAUGCUUACUCUCUUUGCUGCAAUCGCGGUGCUUAAUUUGUUUUGUUCCUUGGAAACAUCUGAAGAUUCUCCAGCCUCAUCUCUUCACUCAAGUCAAGCAGCAGCUGCGUCUCAGUGAUGUAUCCAAUUUGGGUUUCAUUUAAUCUCACAUGCACUUUUUUUAUUUCCAGUAUAAGAAUUCUCUGUUGGUGCUUGAAAAAAUAUGGAGCUCUUUGGUGGUUUUGGAACUAAUAAUUUAGUGCCUG